UACCGAGUUUACAACUCCCAAACCCAAUGUGAACGUUACCAAACUGUUGCCUCGGCGGGAUCUUCUGCCCCGGGUGCGUCGCAGCCCCGGACCAAGGCGCCCGCCGGAGGACCAACCAAAAACUCUUUUGUAUACCCCCUCGCGGGUUUUUUAUAUCUGAGCCAUCUCGGCGCCUCUCGUAGGCGUUUCGAAAAUGAAUCAAAACUUUCAACAACGGAUCUCUUGGUUCUGGCAUCGAUGAAGAACGCAGCGAAAUGCGAUAAGUAAUGUGAAUUGCAGAAUUCAGUGAAUCAUCGAAUCUUUGAACGCACAUUGCGCCCGCCAGUAUUCUGGCGGGCAUGCCUGUCCGAGCGUCAUUUCAACCCUCGAACCCCUCCGGGGGGUCGGCGUUGGGGAUCGGCCCUUUACGGGGCCGGCCCCGAAAUACAGUGGCGGUCUCGCCGCAGCCUCUCCUGCGCAGUAGUUUGCACACUCGCAUCGGGAGCGCGGCGCGUCCAUUGCCGUAAAACACCCAACUUUCUGAAAUGUUGACCUCGGAUCAGGUAGGAAUACCCGCUGAACUUAAGCAUA
rnacentral:rRNA from 1 species